rnacentral:rRNA from 1 species
AGUGAACGCUGGCGGUAGGCCUAAUACAUGCAAGUCGAACGGCCGCACAGUAAGCUCUUGCCUCUACGGGUGGCGAGUGGCGGACGGGUGAGGCAUACAUCACAUUCUACUUUUUCGUGGGGGAUUACGUGGGACAACUUCUGCUACUACCGCAUAUGACCUACGGGUUGAAGCAGGAGAGCUUCGGAGCUUUCGUGUCUGAAUGAGACGACGUCGGAUUAGAUAGUUGGCGUGGUAACGGCCCACCAAGGCAACGAUGCGUAGCGGGCCUGAGAGGAUGAUCGGCCACACUGGAACUGAGACACGGUCCAGACUCCUACGGGAGGCAGCAGUAGGGAAUAUUGGACAAUGGGCGCAAGCCUGAUGCAGCAAUGCCGCGUGGGUGAAGAAGGCCUUCGGAUCGUAAAGCCCUGUUAUUGGGAAAGAAAAGCAGCAGGUUAAUACCCGGCUGUUCUGACGGUACCCAAAGAGUAAGCACCGGCUAACUUCGUG